CAGUAAUCCACCAACCAGGACUGAAUCAAUGCCUUGGACAGUUAGAUGAACAAGAGGGAGAUUUCUAUCAGGAUUAAAUGCGUGUACAUUUUUGAACUGAUUUGUAAUAACAGAUUAGCUCACUCCAAUUUUAAUUCCCCAUUUCUUCUACAGUUCCCUCAUUACUUCAGGAUGAAGGACCCAGAAAAAACCUGGCCUCUGAAUGCCACCUAGCUCCAUCCAUCAUGUCCCUUUCUUUUUUAGGGAGUAGGUGAAUGGAUCCUGGGGAUUAAACCCAGGGUCAUUUACCACUGAACUACAUCCCCAGCCCUUUGUAGCUUUGAGACAGGGUCUCACUAAGUUGCUGAGGCUGUCCUUGAAUGUGCAGUCCUCCUGUCUCAGCCUCCUGAGUCAUUGGGAUUGUAGGCAUGUGCCAUCAUUCCUGGCUCUUCCCCUUUCUUUCUGUACACAGGUUGCACUGGAUUUCUCUCAUGUCCUUGAAUGCUGCAGGAAGUUUGCAACGUUGUGAUUUUAUGCUGUUCCCUCUGUCUAGAAUGUCCCCUGGCACCCAUGGCCUAGCUCAUUCUCCACCCAAACAUCCCUCCUUCCAGCAAGCUUGCCACAAUUCUCAGAGGAGGAUGGUCCUGACAUAAGAUGCCUCUGUAACCCCUUGGUGACAUUUGGUGCCUUUGUCAUUCCUGGUCUGGGUAUGUCUUCUCGAUCAUGGGGAGGGGCUCUGCCAGGUGUGCUCCUGGUGGCCCACCUUGAGCACGCACCUGGCAUACUGCACAUGGUCACAAAUGUUUCUUGAGUCACGGGGCUGGUGUCCCUGGCAUUUUUGGAGUAGGCUGACUCAGCCUUUCUGACAGGACACCUGAGUGUGAGGACACCUCAGGUACCUGCUCGUCCUCCAAGUGCAUUGUCCACUUUGCAUUCCUCCCUUUCCACUGCCCGCCAAGCUCAAGCUCUCCCGUGUGCAGUCCGUGUGGCUGUGGGGUUGAGGGCAGCAUUCAGAGUGCCUCCUUGCCUCCGGUUCCUCAACUAUGAAAUGGAGUUUAUGAAGGUGUCCUCCUGAGAGCAUUGCUCUAGGAAUAAAUGGAUUAUUAAAGAUGCCCUCCGCAUCCACAGGUUCUGUACCCACAGGUUCAACCACUGCAGAUUGAAAAUACUGAGAAAAAAUGGUACAUCUGUACCAAAUAUAUAUAUUUUCUUAUCAUAUUCUCUCAACAAACAUAGCAACUAUUUACAUAGCACAUACAUUGUAUUAAGUAUUUGUUCCCCAAAAGCUCAUGUGUGAAACAGUGCAAGAAAAUUUAGAGGUGAAAUGAUUGGGUUGUGAGAGCCUUAACCUAAUCAGUGCAUUAAUUCAUUGAUGGGAAUUAACUGAGUGGUAACUGUGGGCAGGUAGGGUGUGGCUGGAGGAGGUGGGACCCCGGGACGUCCCUUUGGUAUGUAUUUUGUGAGCUGAGCCUGGUGUCUCUUUGCUUCCUGAUCACCAUGUGAGCCGCUCCCCUCCACCACACUCUUCAGCCAUGAUGUUCUGCCUCACCUUGAGCCCUGAGGAGUGGAGCCUGCUGUCUCUGGACUGAGACCUCUGAAACCAUGAACCUCCCAAAUAAACUUUUCCUCCUCUGGUUGUUC
rnacentral:lncRNA from 1 species